UCCGGGGCGCAGCAGGCGCGAAAACUUUACAAUGCCGGCAACGGCGAUAAGGGGACCUCGAGUGCCAGGUUACAAAUCUGGCUGUCGUGAUGCCUAAAAAGCAUUGCAAGCAAGGGCCGGGCAAGACCGGUGCCAGCCGCCGCGGUAACACCGGCGGCUCGAGUGGUAACCGUUAUUAUUGGGUCUAAAGGGUCUGUAGCCGGCCGGAUAAGUCUCUUGAGAAAUCCAGCAGCUCAACUGUUGGGCUUUCAGGAGAUACUGUCGGCUCG
rnacentral:rRNA from 1 species